CCGUUUGAUUGACAAAGAUUUGGGUUUUUAAUUCCAUCCGUUUCACUUUUCCAUUCCAUCUGAAACACAUUUCAUUUCACCUCUCUCGCGUUAUUCUUCCGUUUCUUUUCUCACCCCUUUUUCAUUCGGAUCCUUCUCCUUCUCUGAAGCUCCAUAACAAAAAAACAUACGACUAAGAUUCACCAGAGCAGAGCCGUGCGAGAGAGAGAGAGGGUCCAACCGAAGAGAUGAGGUCGUGCGGCACUGGGUGAGACAGCGGAGGAGCUCCGAUCUGGUGCGACCCGCCGCUGUUUCGACGGCAAAAGUUGGUGUGCUUGGUAUGUAGAAAAAGGAAUGAACGAACGAAAUGGAAGAUAGGAAUGCUCACACCUGCGAUGAAGAUGGCGUUGCUGUGAACAGUCUGCAGAGAGGGUGCGAAAUUGAAUGAGUGUGCAGAGAGGGUGAGAAACGUGAAAGACAUAAAUCAAAUUGGAAAUUGGAGAGUUCCUAUGGUUUUUUGUUUCGGACGUUCUGUCGCUUAUGUUACGGGCACCACUGCUUCCGCCUUGGAUUUUUUGCUCCUCCACUGUUGUGCGCCUUGGCUGGGUUCAUCUGUGUGUUAGUGUGUUCUGUGACAGCAACGCAAGAGGUAUCACCACAGCUUUUCCUGUUAAGUGCCUCUUCUGUAAGGUUUGUUGUUGCAGACCAAGCUUCCUUUACAGUUUACAUUUCUGAUGGCAUCCAUUGCUUCUUGAUUUGUCAUUACCUUGAAUAAUUUAAUAUACAGAUGUAAGAAGUGCAAAAAUAUGGUCCAUAAGGUGUGUGCAUAGUUCAUUAUUUGUCAAAUCUUACCUUCCAUAACCCAUCACUGGCUAAUAUAACAAACUCUGCAUCAUCAUCUAUCAGCUCCACUACCAUAUAUAUGGUUCUGAGCUCAAGUGUUUCUUUAGGCUCAAGUGUGGUUUUGAGCUCAGUUUCAACAUAUGCUCUCUUCACUACAUCUCCAAGUUCAGUCCAAGAGUCAGGCUACAUUAUGAAAAAAGAAAGUUUCACAGAUGAAGACUCAACAAACACCAGCAAUUUAUCCACCCAUGUUAGCUUCGGGACUAUUUAAGCAAGGUACUAAUAGCUCUACCCAUAUUUGUUGUUAUUAUAGUUUCAGUUUUCUAAUUGCCAUUUUCAAAUUUUGGAAAGUAUGAAAAAGUAUAAGUUGAAAUUGUCUAACACUGUUCUGUCAUCUUCUAUGUCUCUGUAGCAUUUUGAUUAACUACAAUUGAAUCACUUUUGCUGGUCCGGGGUUGACCAAGUUCAAGUCAUGGCUAUUUGGGCCUACGGUUUAUUUGGUGUUGAACUAUUCUCAUUGUAGUGUGGUUCUAAAUAUGUCUCAGAUUUUUUUAUAAUGGCAAAGUUGUGAAGUUCUAAAUAUCUUUCUCUAUUAAUUAUAUUCCCUUUCAGCUAUAUUUAAAGACUUGAUAGUAUCAUUUUCAUUUUUAUCUUAUUCUAGGAAACCCAGUCGAGAAAGUGACUUUGAAUCUGCUACUAUACAGAGACAAGCCAGCAGUCGCCAUUGUCAUGAAAGAAAAGAAAAGGGAUGCUUCUAAGGUAACAUGAACUUGCCACUUCUUUCAAGUACAGUUGUUUAUUGUAUUUCAUAUUGGCUUAGGAUGUGCUAUUAUUGGUUCUCCAUUUAAAUAGACUCAAACUUUCAAUCAAAUAGAGGUACUCAAACUUUCAAUUAAGAAUGGGAAGAACAUGUGAAUUUCGCCUCUGCAUUGGCUAGCAAUUCAUUCCAAGAAUAGCUUCCUUCAACUACUCUCAGAACCGAGGGAAGUGGAACUAUUAUGCUCAAAACUACCAGCAAUCCAAUAGCACUUUCUCAUGAUGGUGCAAAUACUAAAGGGUUCAAAGUUUGAUAACAUUUCUUUGCUUUUUUCUGUCCCUCUUUUCUUUUUAAGUUGGGAGCUAGGUCUAUGUAAAUCACAUUCCUUUUUCAUUGCAAAUGAAUUGCACCUGAUGCAGAUUUCAGUUUGGAUUUCUAUUUGUUAGUUAGCUUAUGAAGGAAAUAUUCUUUGUCA